rnacentral:rRNA from 1 species
AAUGAACGCUGGCGGCGCGCCUAAUACAUGCAAGUCGAGCGAGAAGACGUAGCAAUACGUUUGUAAAGCGGCGAACGGGUGAGGAAUACAUGGGUAACCUACCCUCGAGUGGGGAAUAACUAGCCGAAAGGUUAGCUAAUACCGCGUACGCUUCUUGGACUUCGGUUCAGGAGGAAAGCGAUACCGUGGGUAUCGCGCUCUUGGAUGGGCUCAUGUCCUAUCAGCUUGUUGGUGAGGUAACGGCUCACCAAGGCUUCGACGGGUAGCUGGUCUGAGAGGACGAUCAGCCACACUGGCACUGCGACACGGGCCAGACUCCUACGGGAGGCAGCAGUAAGGAAUAUUGCGCAAU